GUCACACCUGUUCCCAUGCCGAACACAGAAGUUAAGCUCUUUAGCGCCGAUGGUAGUCGGACUUACGUUCCGCGAGAGUAGGACGUUGCCAGGC
rnacentral:rRNA from 1 species